UACGUAGGGUGCAAGCGUUGUCCGGAAUUAUUGGGCGUAAAGAGCUCGUAGGCGGUCUGUCGCGUCUGCUGUGAAAACUCGGGGCUUAACCCCGGGCCUGCGGUGGGUACGGGCAGACUAGAGUGCGGUAGGGGAGACUGGAAUUCCUGGUGUAGCGGUGAAAUGCGCAGAUAUCAGGAGGAACACCGGUGGCGAAGGCGGGUCUCUGGGCCGUAACUGACGCUGAGGAGCGAAAGCGUGGGGAGCGAACAGG
rnacentral:rRNA from 1 species